rnacentral:rRNA from 1 species
UACGAAGGUGGCAAGCGUUAUUCGGAUUUACUGGGCAUAAAGCGCGCGUAGGCGGCUUGGCAAGUCGGGGGUGAAAGCCCGCAGCUCAACUGCGGAACUGCCUUCGAUACUGCCGGGCUUGAGGGCGGGAGGGGUGAUUGGAACUCCAGGUGUAGCGGUGAAAUGCGUAGAUAUCUGGAGGAACACCGGAGGCGAAGGCGAAUCACUGGACCGCUUCUGACGCUGAGGCGCGAAAGCUAGGGGAGCAAACAGG